ensembl:lncRNA
GUUCCCAAUGGGAAACUCAAUGUUCCCAAUAGGAAAACCCAAUGUUCCCAAUGGGAAACUCAAUGUUCCCAAUGGGAAACUCAAUGUUCAUUAAGGAUCUCCCCAUUCCCUAUAGGAAAACUCAAUGUUCCCAAUGGGAAACCCAAUGUUCCCAAUGGGAUCUCAAUGUCUCCCCCUUCCCAAUGGGAAACCCCUUCCCCCCCCAAACCCCAUAUCCCCCCAUUGCCUCUCCCACCCCAUAGAUCACCGAGACCAUCAGAUCCCAUGACUGCUCCGAGACCUGCACAUGCCGCGGCUCCGGCGCCCUCCAUUGCCGCCCCACACCCUGUCCCUAUGGCCAUAUAUGUACCCCCAUUAACGGCACUAGAGCCUGCAUGGAGCCCCCCGGACGCUGCAGCCUCAGCCCAGCCUCCGGCUCCAUCACCUUCGAUGGGGCCUCCAUCAUCCCCAUGCUGGCCAAUGGGGUCUAUGUGGUGGCCACAGUGUGUGAGGCGAUGGAGCCCAACUGGUUCCGGUUGCUGGCGGUGGUGGAGGGGGGUCAGAGGUCAGCGGAGGUGAUGGAGGGGGGUCAGAGGUCACCGGCGGUGGUCGCGCUGUAUCUAUAUGUACGUGGAGCCUUCGUCACCGUCAAGAGGGAGAGGAAGGUCUGGGUCAACGGGAUCCCAACCCCCAUCCCUACGCAAGUCAAUGGGAUCCCAACCCCCAACCCUAUGGAAGUCAAUGGGAUCCCAACCCCCAUCCCUAUGGAAGUCAAUGGGAUGCUGAACAUCACUGAGGCCAAUGGGACCAUCCGGCUCCAGCACAUCCUAUGGGAUAUCUCCCUGGAUCCCAAUGGGGUUGUCAUGGUGACCAAGGGGCUGCAUGGGAAGCUCUGUGGGAUCUGUGGGAAUUCCAAUGGGAAUGCCGAGGAUGACGUGCGGGGACCGGAUGGGACCUGGCUUGGGAAUAGGGAUAUAGGGAAGGGCUGGAGAGCUCCGGAGUUCACACAUUGCUGCGAAUAGGGGGGAGGGGGAGAGGCUCCUCCGAUGACGUCAUCGCUGACGUCACCGAUGACGUCAUCGCGUCCCAACGUGUUCCCUAUGGAAUGGCAAUAAAGGGAUGAGAAUAGCACUUAUGGGGCUGGGGGGUCACUUAUGGGGCUGGGGGGCACUUAUGGGGCUGGGGGGGACUUAUGGGGCAGGAGGGGCACUUAUGGGGCAGGAGGGGAACUUAUGGGGCAGGAGGGGCACUUAUGGGGCAGGAGGGGAACUUAUGGGGCUGGAGGGGCACUUAUGGGGCAGGAGGGGAACUUAUGGGGCAGGAGGGGCACUUAUGGGGCAGGAGGGGCACUUAUGGGGCUGGGGGGUUACUUAUGGGGCUGGGGGGUUACUUAUGGGGCUGGGGGGUACUUAUGGGGCUGGGGGUCACUUAUGGGGCUGGGGGGGAACUUAUGGGGCUGGGGGUCACUUAUGGGGCUGGGGGGGACUUAUGGGGCUGGGGGGGACUUAUGGGGCUGGGGUGGCUCUUAUGGGGCUGGGGGGGACUUAUGGGGCUGGGGGCACUUAUGGGGCUGGGGGCACUUAUGGG